GUUGUUGUUGUUGAAAAAUUUGACGUCUGACAAUUCAGUACAAUAUUUUUUUUCGCACGUGAUAACGCUGAAAAUUAAAGUGGAUACCCUUUAGAACUUGGAAGGACAUACCCCUGACUACAAGAGGAGUUUAUAAAAGUCUUUUUCAGCGAUGAUAAGCUCAAGAAGAUUACUUUAUAUGACAGUGGAACAACAGUACAUUAGGCAGCCGCAAUGAAGGACGCUAAGCAAGCCAUAAAGACAUGAUGCCAACGAAGGCAUCAAACAAGUCUUUGGACAGCGCCUUAGUUCCGACAGUAGAUCGAGAAAACCCCUUAGUCCUAGCAAACAGACACCUCCUCUGUACUUCUUUUGACCUGUACACCGAUUUUAAAAACGUCGCCGCAAGUGAUCGUCGACAAGAAUCCAAUGCCCCA